rnacentral:rRNA from 1 species
GACGAACGCUGGCGGCGUGCUUAACACAUGCAAGUCGAACGGAAAGGCCCUGCUUUUGUGGGGUGCUCGAGUGGCGAACGGGUGAGUAACACGUGAGUCACCUGCCCUUGACUUUGGGAUAACUUCAGGAAACUGGGGCUAAUACCUGAUAGGUGCCCCUGCUGCAGGGUGGGGGUUGGAAAGUUUGGGCGGUUGGGGAUGGACUCGCGGCUUAUCAGCUUGUUGGUGGGGUAGUGGCUUACCAAGGCUUUGACGGGUAGCCGGCCUGAGAGGGUGACCGGCCACAUUGGGACUGAGAUACGGCCCAGACUCCUACGGGAGGCAGCAGUGGGGAAUAUUGCACAAUGGGCGGAAGCCUGAUGCAGCAACGCCGCGUGCGGGAUGACGGCCUUCGGGUUGUAAACCGCUUUCGCCUGUGACGAAGCGUGAGUGACGGUAAUGGGUAAAGAAGCACCGGCUAACUACGUG